rnacentral:rRNA from 1 species
CUGCGAAUGGGCUCAUUAUAUCAGUUAUAGUUUAUUUGGUGAAGUGUACUACUUGGAUAACCGUAGUAAUUCUAGGGCUAAUACAUGAGAAAGUCCUCUGGUGAGGUGUGUUUAUUAGAAUGAAAACCAUAUGCUUCGGCAUGAUAGUGAGUAAUAGUAACCUAUCGUAUCGCAUGCUUAAUGUAGCGAUGAGUCUUUCAAGUUUCUGCCCUAUCAGCUUUCGAUGGUAGUAUAUGGGCCUACCAUG